UACAGAGGUCUCAAGCGUUGUUCGGAUUCAUUGGGCGUAAAGGGUGCGUAGGCGGCGCGGUAAGUCGGGUGUGAAAUCUCGGGGCUUAACUCCGAAACUGCAUUCGAUACUGCCGUGCUUGAGGACUGGAGAGGAGACUGGAAUUUACGGUGUAGCGGUGAAAUGCGUCGAUAUCAGUGAAGAAGACCGGUGGCGAAGGCGGGAUCUCUGGGCCUUACCUGACGCUCAGGUGCGAAAGCUAGGGGAGCGAACAGG
rnacentral:rRNA from 1 species